GACGAACGCUGGCGGCGUGCUUAACACAUGCAAGUCGAACGGAAAGGCCCUGCUUUUGUGGGGUGCUCGAGUGGCGAACGGGUGAGUAACACGUGAGUAACCUGCCCUUGACUUUGGGAUAACUUCAGGAAACUGGGGCUAAUACCGGAUAGGAGCUCCUGCUGCAUGGUGGGGGUUGGAAAGUUUCGGCGGUUGGGGAUGGACUCGCGGCUUAUCAGCUUGUUGGUGGGGUAGUGGCUUACCAAGGCUGUGACGGGUAGCCGGCAUGAGAGGGUGACCGGCCACAUUGGGACUGAGAUACGGCCCAGACUCCUACGGGAGGCAGCAGUGGGGAAUAUUGCACAAUGGGCGGAAGCCUGAUGCAGCAACGCCGCGUGCGGGAUGACGGCCUUCGGGUUGUAAACCGCUUUCGCCUGUGACGAAGCGUGAGUGACGGUAAUGGGUAAAGAAGCACCGGCUAACUACGUG
rnacentral:rRNA from 1 species